GAUGGGUCCAAGGUUAAUCCAAA
rnacentral:siRNA from 1 species